AUUGAACGCUGGCGGCAGGCUUAACACAUGCAAGUCGAGCGGGGUGAUGGUGCUUGCAAUAUCACUUAGCGGCGGACGGGUGAGUAAUGUCUGGGAAACUGCCUGAUGGAGGGGGAUAACUACUGGAAACGGUAGCUAAUACCGCAUAACGUCGCAAGACCAAAGAGGGGGACCUUCGGGCCUCUUGCCAUCAGAUGUGCCCAGAUGGGAUUAGCUAGUAGGUGGGGUAAUGGCUCACCUAGGCGACGAUCCCUAGCUGGUCUGAGAGGAUGACCAGCCACACUGGAACUGAGACACGGUCCAGACUCCUACGGGAGGCAGCAGUGGGGAAUAUUGCACAAUGGGCGCAAGCCUGAUGCAGCCAUGCCGCGUGUAUGAAGAAGGCCUUCGGGUUGUAAAGUACUUUCAGCGGGGAGGAAGGUGUUGAGGUUAAUAACCUCAGCAAUUGACGUUACCCGCAGAAGAAGCACCAGCUAACUCCGUGCCAGCAGCCGCCGUAA
rnacentral:rRNA from 1 species